GACGAACGCUGGCGGCGUGCUUAACACAUGCAAGUCGAACGGAAAGGCCCUGCUUUUGUGGGGUGCUCGAGUGGCGAACGGGUGAGUAACACGUGAGUAACCUGCCCUUGACUUUGGGAUAACUUCAGGAAACUGGGGCUAAUACAGGAUAGGAGCUCCUGCUGCACGGUGGGGGUUGGAAAGUUUCGGCGGUUGGGGAUGGAAUGGAGGCUUAUCAGCUUGUUGGUGGGGUAGUGGCUUACCAAGGCUUUGACGGGUAGCCGGCCUGAGAGGUUGACCGGCCACAUUGGGCCUGCGAUACGGCCCAGACUCGUACGGGAGGCAGCAGUGGGGAAUAUUGCACAAUGGGCGGAAGCCUGAUGCAGCAACGCCGCGUGCGGGAUGACGGCCUUCGGGUUGUAAACCGCUUUCGCCUGUGACGAAGCGUGAGUGACGGUAAUGGGUAAAGAAGCACCGGCUAACUACGUG
rnacentral:rRNA from 1 species